AAGUCACUUGUUUUUCGCGAAGGAGCACUGGGACUGGUGCCCGUCAACAUUGCCAUAGCAACCGCGUUCCUGAAGCGCUCGCGGCUGCUUUCGACCUCUGAAAAGAGGAGGCCGAGCUGCAACGUGAGCCCCCCCCCGAACGAAAUUUCUGGCUACGCCACUGGAAACAAGCGCAUGUCCAAAUAGGACGCGGCUCGCCUCAGUACAUGCCACCUGCCGCCGCUGCUCAACCGCACCAACCAUGGCAGCUGCACUCCUGUAAAGCUGCGUAAGAUUUCCCCUUUGACUUCUCUGCAGUGCAUGUUCGUUUUUCGUGUGCUUCACCACCAAGCCCAACACGGAGGUUUCCUGCCAACGGGAGCAGAGCGAGCCGGCGCACGGCGCGGGUGGGAUGGCGGUUCGGUAUUUGCCGCUUUAGCGGUCACAGACCAAUAAACGAUGAGGCGUUCUUUUAUUCAAUGUGUCAAUGACACGUUGAUUUGUUGUAAAAUUGUCAUUGGAGGUUAUACGGAAGUUCACGUUCGUGAGUGGGCGGAGCAUGCGUACUCACAGCGGGCCCAGCUGGCACGUACUGUAAAAUUCGCCUCCUUUGUGCAUUACCCGAUUGCCAUUGCAAUAAAGAAGGCCGAGAAAUGCGUCAGUGAAAGUAACAUUUGUCAUCGACAGAUAUGGUUUUCAAUCGCACACUAUGAACCAUUACAGUCUAGUGUUGCCAACACUUUCUGAAGCGUGUCACUGAAGUGAGACAAAAAAUUCAUUAAAAGUCUCGCCGUAACUGUGAGGUGCAUUGAUUUUAAGAACGUAGGUGUCUGGAAACACUGUAAUAUAAGCUGGCGUGAAGUAAAUAAUUUGCCCAGACGUUUCAUAUUGGUCUAAUGUCCGUGCAGCUGAAGGAAAACAGCGAAUUUACCAGCACGGUAUAGACGGCAAUUCGGAAUGAAUAACGGCGAUACAGGUUUUGUGGAAAGAAAAGGUUUUGUUUCUUUAAUUUUAGUGUUAGGUUAAACGUUUUGAGAUCUCCGAGACUAGAGAUAGUUUCGAUAAGCACGUUUUGAGCUUUGUUCAGAUUGUUUGCUUUAGAAGCUCACUGAUGUUCUGACAGAUUUGGUUCGCGCUCUGAAAUUUCUGAAACUUUUUUUUUUCAAUAUGUCGUUCUCUUUUGUAGCAGAUAGGCUUCUUUUUGCUUUGUUUUUGAGAUACGGUUGCACCUCCAAGUUUAGGUUAUUUGUUAGAAACCUGUAGUGGCGCGCUUGAGUAUCAGUCAACUUUUCGGAAGGGUUCGCGAAAAUUUUCUUUGAAAGUAAACCGCGUUAUAUGAGGAGCCAUUGUUUGACCGCAAGAUUUUAGAAAGCGAUUGUACCCGUUCCUUUAAGGCGUGUCUUGCACGGACACAGAGAAGCAAAGCGUUGGUGCGUGUCCUCGCAAGUGUAUUCAUAAUACGACAAUGUUUUCACCAUCGCUUAGAGUGUGCGUGAUAGUAUUUAGAAAUGAGGUCGAAUCUUCGUGUAGUUUCGAGCGCGUAUUUUACACAGCAUUUUUUAAAAUUAUUUCUUUAGUGCGGGUUCUUUGUGGACUAGAGAAAGAAAAUGUUAGUGCGUGAGUCACACGAAAGUGGAAGAUUUGAGGAGCUUAUUCGGAAUGUGUGGAUUGUUUUGAGAGGAAAGCCUUGUCUUCACGGCUUGCGCUUGUCUCGCCAGCCUUUUGCAGAGAAUUCAUUCUCUAAGUGUGACGCCAGCAACCAUGGUCUAGGUGUCGUCCUUGCCCAAUUUAACGGGAGCGGUGAAGAGUAUCCCGUGCUGUACCUCAGUCAAAAACUGACACCGUGAGAAGAGACGUAUAGCGCCUCGGAGAAAGAGUGUUUGUGCAUAGUAUGGGCCAUUAAAAAGCUAGCAUGCUAUAUUCAAGGCACGAAAUUCACGGUCGAGAGCGACCAUUGCCCUCUUGCAUGGCUGAAGCAAAUAUCGAAAAAAAAAAGCGGGAGACUGCCGAGGUGGAGUCUCAUUUUGCAAAUAACGUAUAAUAAACCCUUAUCCCUUCAUACCUAUUACCGGACGUGCUCGUCAAUGGGCUUGGUGGAUUCCUGGCCUAAACGCCACCUCGAGCCGCAACAGUGCCUCACAAAAUGACACUACAGAGAAAAAUGGCCCCCACUUCCAGCACUUCUUUAAUAUAUGUGCUUACGGGUCGUUUAUCUGGACUUGCUUCUCAUUCUUUACAACUUUUGUAUACAUGUUCCGAUUUUCAUGCUUGAACUUUUUUAAUAGCCGUCUCUGCAUUCAAAAACAAAAAUUAUGAAAGCGAUGGCUCCACUGUAUAAUUGUACGAGUCCCGCCCUCCAGAGUUUGCUCUCUGCAUUACGCCGUGGAGCGCACGAGCGACUUGUCGCGGACACACGGGAAAUUUGCCAUCGGGCAGUUGAGACAGGACACCACAUUGUGUUUCUAUGGUUGCCAAGUCAUUGUGACCUGCUUGGAAACGAGCAAGCAGACACAGCCACUCGACCUUCACACACCAGUGCCGAUUGCGUUGCUACCCCGCUGUCAAGAACAGCCGCAGCGGGAAAGCUCCACGCGCUUGCUCGCGGACUUACCUUGGUCCAGUGGAAUUCGGCAGACUUUAAAAACCAGCGCCUUUGUUCCCUGGAUCCUGAUCUAAAGCUUCGCCUUCCACGUGGCUUACCACGACGGUAGGUAACUCUCAUCUGUCGCCUACGGCUUGGAGUAGCUUUUACCAAUGCGUACUCUGACCUUAUCGAAAUGGCCACAAGUCCAGAUUGUGAAGUUUGCGGGUGCAAAGAGACGAUAGCGCACCUUCUAUUUUAUUGUGGUCGUUUCAGUGCACAAAGACAAGUCCUCAAACCACGCUCGACAGGAUUCAUAGCCAUCCCCCUGCGGAAGGCAGAAUUCUUGGACCCUGGCCCCAGCCGACGUCGGCGCAAACUGCUUUAAAAUCGCUAGUGUGCUUUUUAAAGGGGGAAAAAAGAGAAAAGAGCAUCAGCGCGAAUGACCACGCCGAUGAAGCCAUCCGAUCUGCACAUGAAAAUGGUCAACGUGUCUUGAUUCCGCUUUCGCAAACAGACGCUGCGGCUGGGCUGCGACUGAUGUCCCGUGAAUGUGCUUUGCCUCUGUGGGACUCGAACGCUUUCACCAUGUGUCGUUUGCGUUCGUUGUCUCCGGACAUACGGAUGCACCUACCGCCUGGGUUACCACGACGUGAACAGCUGUACCGUCUGUACCAUGCUGUACCGUCUGUGGCUAGGCGUUGCAUUCACGUACUCGUAUGCAUUCCUUAUUGGAAUGGCCAACAGCCCCACGUGGGCCACAUGCAACAUCGAUGAGACGCUCGCACAUAUUAUCUGUGUCUGCCCGCGAUAUAGUGCUCAGAGACAAGUGCUGUGCAGAGUAAUGGACCAGUUGCACAAUCGUCCACUAUCAGGACUGAAAGCUUUAGAUCAGUAGUCCCACAGAACAUCCUUCCUAAAUGCCGUACUCGCGUUAUUAAGGUUCCUGCGGUCUGGGGGCUUCACGGUAGACUGUAAGAACGCCGCCUCCUACAGCUCUGUAGUGUACGCGGUUUGGUCAUGCUCGUCUCUAUUUCUUUCUAUCUCCCCUUUCCACUCUCUUUUUUUUAUCCCCCUUCCCCCUUCCCCCCGUGCAGGGUAGCCAACCGGAACUGCCUCUGGUUAGCCUCCCUGCCUUUCUAUGCAUCCUUUUCUCUCUCUCUUUAAAGGAAACGGGACUCAUUGAAAAACUAUAGAAUGCGCAAACUCAUGAUUUUCUUUUUUAUUAUUAUUUCUUAUUAUUUAUUAUAUUUAACCUUCUCUUGUUUUCUUAUCUUUUCUGCCGCUCACCCCAUCCCUCAGUGCAGGGUAGCCAACCGGACGCUUAGUCUGGUUAACCUCUCUGCCUUUCACCUCUUGCUUUCAUUUCUUCCUUGUGCCGAAUAAACUGAAAAUAAAGGAAAAAGAAAUCUUGCGCCACGCGAACGAAUCUUAAAUGUUUAUCUGGUGAGGCAUACACUUGGACAAAAGCCCCUCUCCCCUGGUUCACGGCAACGGCCACAUUUAAAAAGCUUUAAGUGUGCCGCAGCUGAGCCACCUACGUGGCGAUUUUUCACUAGCUUCAGUGCCGUUGUGCUGCCGUUGUAUGUGAGUGUCGCAAAGCCUGAGUAAGCAGAAAAUAGGGCGGCGUUUGCUGUAUUUUAUGUGCGCUCGAAUAUUCUGGCUUUAAUUCGAAUGUGAAUACAAAAGUCCGUGUUAUUCGAUUUGCAUUCGAUUACAGAAUUCACUGUUACAGCUUGUUGAAUGUUCGUUUGUGUUCGAAUUUAAGGGUCAAUACUUCUUGUAGUCGGCAUGGAGAAAGACAAAUUGGCGCCAUUUGCCGAGCAAAUGCGUCAAGUGGAGCUAAGUUCUGCUCAAUUUCCAUUCGCUCUGUAUAAGGAUGCCUCAUCUAAAGACAGCUUACGAAUUUGCUUCCUCAAUUCCGGCAAAUCAGUUUAUUAUUUGGACAUUCUGACCAAUUUUGCAUUCCAUUAAAACGAUGCGGCGUGAUGUAUAUUAUUCCACUUUGCUCUGUUAACGAACACGGCCCCCUCUACGUGCAUCUGGUUCCGUUCCCGUGUUUCAGUAGUGCCAUAGUGACAAUGCACCAGAUGCGAUCACCUUUCAGCUGUUUCUCAUUUACAGCCUCUUCAGUUCACUCGACAUACAAUUCUGAACGGCAUUACAUGUAUCGAAUGAUGCAAUAAGCCUUUCUUUCGAAUCAAGCGGACACUAUAGACAACCUCUAUAAAUGAGAAAGCAUUCGGUGUUUGAUUCAACAUUUGAGGGUUUCUUUCUCGAAUUCCAUCCAAUUCACAUGAGAAGAUUUCGCUAUUCAAACAACUUUUUCCACUUCUUUUCUUUUUGGUACACAAUGCAAGGC